rnacentral:misc_RNA from 1 species
GAUGAAGAACGCAGCGAAAUGCGAUAAGUAAUGUGAAUUGCAGAAUUCAGUGAAUCAUCGAAUCUUUGAACGCACAUUGCGCCCGCCAGUAUUCUGGCGGGCAUGCCUGUUCGAGCGUCAUUACAACCCUCAGGCCCCCGGGCCUGGCGUUGGGGAUCGGCGGAAGCCCCCUGCGGGCACAACGCCGUCCCCCAAAUACAGUGGCGGUCCCGCCGCAGCUUCCAUUGCGUAGUAGCUAACACCUCGCAACUGGAGAGGCGCGGCCACGCCGUAAAACACCCAACUUCUGAAUGUUGACCUCGAAUCAGGUAGGAAUACCCGCUGAACUUAAGCAUAUCAAUAAGCGGAGGA